GGAGAGGUGUCCGAGUGGUUUAAGGAGCUCGACUGGAAAUCGUGUGUACUACAAAAUGGUACCGUGGGUUCAAAUCCCACCCUCUCCG
rnacentral:tRNA from 1 species